UCCAUUUUGUUUCUAGCUUUGAUGAAAGGUAGCAGAUUGAAAAUGGGUGCAUUUUUAAUGUUUACUUGCUUUCAAACAGAACAUUUUGAUAGACCAAACACCUAAUUCUUUUAAUGAUGAGUUCAAUCACCAUUGCUUUCAAUCUAAUGUUUAUGUAUCCUCACCAAGGAUGUAGAGCUGAAGGCGAGUAGUGACCUCACCAAGGAUGUAGAGCUAAGGGCGAGUAGUGACCUCACCAAGGAUGUAGAGCUAAGGGCAUGUUCUUAGCCACUGGUUAGAGUGAGAGGCUACAGAAGCUAUUGAUGUCUAUUGGUUGAAAUUUAAGUUUGUAAAGUAGUUGGAAUGCUGAAGUUUAAAGAAUUAGCAGAGGCUUCUAUUGUGGUUCUCAGAUGUCGAAGAGCAUCAAAGCAUGCCUACCCUAUCGCCGACUGCUCUCAUCUUCUAUUUUAUGGCUAUGAUUUGCUGAGAUGUUGCAGCUACUUUUCAAUCCCAAUUGAUGUAUAGUUUUGCCUGUUUGGCUAUAUCAGGCUGUGGCUGCAUGGAAAGUUGUAUUGCUGUAAACAUUUGUAGCAUGGAAAAUGGACAGUCAUGAGCAUUCGUAGGCUGAAAACAUUAAAUAGACCGGUAACUAUUUUAUUUGUAUUGUG